GACAUGUUUAUUAUUUCCUGACAUUUUCAUUACAGAUAUUCAAGAAUUUUAUGAGGUGACAUUAUUAAAUUCUCAUAAAAGCUGUGAGCAGAAGAUAGAAGAAGCCAACCAAGUUGCACAGAAAUGGGAAAAGACUCUCAUUCAUGAUCCAUGCAGUGAUGGUCUGCAAAAGUCUGUAGAGCCUCCAGGUUGCAGUGGACCAAAAGAAAAUAGUUCAUACAUUGAUCAAAAUAAAGAAAACCAGUGUUUUGAGAAUGAAACUGAAGAAAAAACAUGUGUAAGUGUUCUUAUCUUUGUUGUUAUGAUUAGCAUAUUAUGUGUGUCCUAUUUUUCCAGAGAUGCCAUUUUCUAG
rnacentral:lncRNA from 1 species